AUUAAGAUUUAAGUGAUUCCAACUCCUCCAACAGCAGAAAAUGGUCCAAGGUAUCCAGUACUGCUCUUCCAGAUAUACAAACACUUAUGAUGGGAGAUAUAAUUGAAGAAGAAAAACAAUCUGAGGAAUAAAGAAUUCUAAGUUUACGUUUUGGCGAAUGUUUGCAGUUUUUGCAAAUUCAAACCUGUGCAAGUUUUGCCAAAUCAAAUCUGUUUCAGGAAAAAUCAAAAAUUUGAAUAUUAAGUAUAAAUAUCAAAUACAUUUUGUCUCAAUUAAGUUUUGUGAAAAUAUUGGAAAUAUAAUGAUCUGCAUUUUCGUUAUUCCUAGGAUUUCAAAAAUAAAGUUUGCGCGUUUUGAUGAAGCUUCACAACUAUUGAGAGGAAAAAUAUUUGUCCAAAUGUCAAUAUGUAUUUACAAAUAAAAGGAAAAUUGUCAAAAUUACAAUUUAUAUGUUUUUUAAGAUUUUAAGACAAACCUAAAAUCAAGAUUAACAUUAGAUUUCCUUGUUCAUUUAUUACGGGAUAAAAAUGUACGCGGUGUCCCACGAAACAUGACAGAUGUUGAACAGUUUAGAAUGUCUUCUUCACCAAUUUGUUAAGUUGUUUGAUACCCAAAAGACUAAUAAAAUCUUAUGGGAGGCAUACUAUAUUAAAAUUGAUUUCAAAGUAAAAUAUAUUUUAGCAAAAGAUUUUUUUUUAACGAAAUAAACUGCAAAAAGACAUUUAAAACUAUAAACCAACGGUCAUGUUUCGUGGGACACCCUGUAUUUGAUUUAAAAAGUAUAAGGUAAAAACGUAUUUUAUCCUACGCCGAUUAGACUAUUGUGUUUCUUAGAUUUUUUGUUAUAAUAUUAGAGUUCAGCAUUAUGCGUAUUGGGAACUUUUGACGUUAUAAAUUGUGUACAUUUUUUUAUGAAAAAUUGAAUGGAGUACUCGCCUCAAACCAUGAUUUUUGCAACAUGAAAUUGUAUGCUGUUUGAUAUUUCCAAAUAUCAAUGAUAACCUAACUGAUUGGCCCAAAAAGGUUCCUUUGCUUUUUUAUUAAAAAUGCUUGUUAAAGGUAUCUGUAAAACCAGAAUGAAUUUGCUUAUUUAUUUCAAGAAAAAAAUGUAUUAAUUCUCAAAAGCAUGAUAUGUAAAUGUGAUGUUAUAGUAUAUUGUGUCUAUAUAAAGGUUGAACUUGGGCUGAACUCUUUAAAACCAUUAUAUCACAAAAGUAUUUAUCCAUGUAAAUGUGUAUAUAAUUAUAUUUCACAUAUAUAUAAAUGUGUAAAAUGAAUUAGAUGUCUUUGUUUGAUAUUGCUAUCCAAAUUAAGAACCCAUCUGUAAAUAAAGCUCAAUUGCUUAUAUU